rnacentral:rRNA from 1 species
CGAGAAUCAUUCACAAUGGGGGAAACCCUGAUGGUGCGACGCCGCGUGGGGGAAUGAAGGUCUUCGGAUUGUAAACCCCUGUCAUGUGGGAGCAAAUUAAAAAGAUAGUACCACAAGAGGAAGAGACGGCUAACUCUGUGCCAGCAGCCGCGGUAAUACAGAGGUCUCAAGCGUUGUUCGGAAUCACUGGGCGUAAAGCGUGCGUAGGCUGUUUCGUAAGUCGUGUGUGAAAGGCGCGGGCUCAACCCGCGGACGGCACAUGAUACUGCGAGACUAGAGUAAUGGAGGGGGAACCGGAAUUCUCGGUGUAGCAGUGAAAUGCGUAGAUAUCGAGAGGAACACUCGUGGCGAAGGCGGGUUCCUGGACAUUAACUGACGCUGAGGCACGAAGGCCAGGGGAGCGAAAGGGAUUAGAUACCCCUGUAGUCCUGGCAGUAAACGGUGCACGCUUGGUGUGCGGGGAAUCGACCCCCUGCGUGCCGGAGCUAACGCGUUAAGCGUGCCGCCUGGGGAGUACGGUCGCAAGAUUAAAACUCAAAGAAAUUGACGGGGACCCGCACAAGCGGUGGAGUAUGUGGCUUAAUUCGAUGCAACGCGAAGAACCUUACCUGGGCUUGACAUGUAAUGAACAACAUGUGAAAGCAUGCGACUCUUCGGAGGCGUUACACAGGUGCUGCAUGGCCGUCGUCAGCUCGCGUCGUGAGAUGUUUGGUUAAGUCCAGCAACGAGCGCAACCCCUGUUGCCAGUUACCAGCACGUGAAGGUGGGGACUCUGGCGAGACUGCCCAGAUCAACUGGGAGGAAGGUGGGGACGACGUCAGGUCAGUAUGGCCCUUAUGCCCAGGGCUGCACACGUACUACAAUGCCCAGUACAGAGGGGACCGAAGCCGCGAGGCGGAGGAAAUCCUGAAAACUGGGCCCAGUUCGGACUGUAGGCUGCAACCCGCCUACACGAAGCCGGAAUCGCUAGUAAUGGCGCAUCAGCUACGGCGCCGUGAAUACGUUCCCG